AAUGGGGGAAACCCUGACCCAGCAACGCCGCGUGAAGGACGAAGGCCUUCGGGUUGUAAACUUCUUUGAUCAGGGACGAAUAAAUGACGGUACCUGAAGAACAAGCCACGGCUAACUACGUGCCAGCAGCCGCGGUAAUACGUAGGUGGCAAGCGUUAUCCGGAUUUACUGGGUGUAAAGGGCGUGUAGGCGGGUCUGCAAGUCGGAUGUGAAAUUCCCGGGCUUAACUCGGGCAGGUCAUCCGAAACUGCGGAUCUUGAGUACUGGAGAGGAUAGUGGAAUUCCUAGUGUAGCGGUAAAAUGCGUAGAUAUUAGGAGGAACACCAGUGGCGAAGGCGGCUAUCUGGACAGUAACUGACGCUGAGGCGCGAAAGCGUGGGGAGCAAA
rnacentral:rRNA from 1 species